CCUACGGGAGGCAGCAGUGGGGGAUAUUGCACAAUGGGGGAAACCCUGAUGCAGCGACGCCGCGUGAGUGAAGAAGUAUUUCGGUAUGUAAAGCUCUAUCAGCAGGGAAGAAAAUGACAGUACCUGACCAAGAAGCCCCGGCUAACUACGUGCCAGCAGCCGCGGUAAUACGUAGGGGGCAAGCGUUAUCCGGAUUUCCUGGGUGGAAAGGGUGAGUAGACGGUGAUGUAAGUAUGGAGUGAAAGCCCGGGGCCCAACCCCGGGACUGCUUUGGAUACUGUGUAACUGGAGUAAAGGAGGGGCAGGUGGAAUUACGGGUGUAGCGGUGAAAUGCGUAGAUAUCAGGAGGAACACCAGCGGCGAAGGCGGCCUGCUGGACGGAAACUGACGUUGAGGCUCGAAAGCGUGGGGAGCAAACAGGAUUAGAUACCCGAGUAGUC
rnacentral:rRNA from 1 species